GAUGAACGCUAGCGGCAGGCCUAAUACAUGCAAGUCGAACGGUGUAGCAAUACACAGUGGCGCACGGGUGCGUAACACGUAUGCAACCUACCUUACAUUGGGGGAUAGCCUUUCGAAAGGGAGAUUAAUACCGCAUAAGACAGUAACUAGGCAUCUAGUAGCUGUUAAAGAUUUAUCGAUGUAAGCUGGGCAUGCGUCCAAUUAGUUAGUUGGCGAGGUAAUGGCCCACCAAGACGAUGAUUGGUAGGGGAACUGAGAGGUCAAUCCCCCACACUGGCACUGAGAUACGGGCCAGACUCCUACGGGAGGCAGCGGUAGGGAAUAUUGGGCAAUGGGCGCAAGCCUGACCCAGCCAUGCCGCGUGCAGGAAGAAGGCGUUAUGCGUUGUAAACUGCUUUUAUACAGGAAGAAACGACCCUUGCGAGGGGCAUUGACGGUACUGUAUGAAUAAGCACCGGCUAACUCCGUGCCAGCAGCCGCCGUAACAC
rnacentral:rRNA from 1 species